UGAGACUUCAAAGAAACAACUCUUCAA
rnacentral:piRNA from 1 species